ensembl:snoRNA
AUGCAUGCUGUGGCUUCCCAGCCACAAGACGUCCACCUCUUCCCACUGAUGAGGUUGUGGAUAUUACAGAAAUAGCAUGCUAGAGAAAAUAUAUUGGAGUUAACAGGGCCACCAGUCUAUCAAGAACAGACUGUGUUGGUAGUAUAAUACUCCAACAAAU